UACGAAGGGGGCUAGCGUUGUUCGGAUUUACUGGGCGUAAAGCGCACGUAGGCGGCCGGAGAAGUCGGUGGUGAAAGCCCGGGGCUCAACCCCGGGUCGGCCGUGGCAACUGUCGAGCUGGAGCACUGUAGAGGCAGGUGGAAUUCCGGGUGUAGCGGUGGAAUGCGUAGAGAUCCGGAAGAACACCGGUGGCGAAGGCGGCCUGCUGGGCAGUGGCUGACGCUGAGGCGCGACAGCGUGGGGAGCAAACAGG
rnacentral:rRNA from 1 species